rnacentral:tRNA from 1 species
GCCUAGUUAGCUUAGUUGGUAGUGCGUCUGCCUUGUAAGCGUUAGGCCGUGGGUUCGAUUCCCGUCCGGGGCG